AAAGGGAGACCUAAUUCAGGUAAAAGACGAAAAAAAAGUAGUCGCUACCAAGAAUCAAUCCCAAAAGGUCGGAGCGAGGCGAAAUUGGCUUUCAAACUAGGUUCUGGGUUCAAACAAGACCUGAAUCAGGAACAAGGGCUAUUAGCUCAGGUGGUUAGAGCGCACCCCUGAUAAGGGUGAGGUCCCUGGUUCGAGUCCAGGAUGGCCCACCUGCACAGGUGGCAAAAACAAGAGAAGCUCCGAAUCAGCACCUUAUCUUACUGACAUAGUAAGAGAGAAUGCUGGCUCUGAGUAAAGAGUCCAGAGGAACCUUGAAAACUGCAUAGAGCUAGGUGAAAAAACCAAAAAAGAAGACCGCAAG
rnacentral:tRNA from 1 species